rnacentral:rRNA from 1 species
GAGCGGCGAACGGGUGAGUAACACGUGAGUAACCUGCCCCUGACUCUGGGAUAAGCCCGGGAAACUGGGUCUAAUACCGGAUAUGACACCUCCUGGCAUCGGGUGGGUGUGGAAAGUUUUUUCGGUUGGGGAUGGACUCGCGGCCUAUCAGCUUGUUGGUGGGGUAAUGGCCUACCAAGGCGACGACGGGUAGCCCGGCCUGAGAGGGCGACCGGCCACACUGGGACUGAGACACGGCCCAGACUCCUACGGGAGGCAGCAGUGGGGAAUAUUGCGCAAUGGGCGAAAGCCUGACGCAGCGACGCCGCGUGGGGGAUGACGGCCUUCGGGUUGUAAACCUCUUUCAGCAGGGACGAAGUUGACGUGUACCUGCAGAAGAAGCGCCGGCUAACUACGUGCCAGCAGCCGCGGUAAUACGUAGGGCGCAAGCGUUGUCCGGAAUUAUUGGGCGUAAAGAGCUCGUAGGUGGCUUGUCACGUCGGGGUGUGAAAGCUUGGGGCUUAACUCCAGGUCUGCAUUCGAUACGGGCUGGCUAGAGGUAGGUAGGGGAGANCGGAA